CAGUCGCCGCGGUAAUACGUAGGUGGCAAGCGUUGUCCGGAAUUAUUGGGCGUAAAGGGCUCGCAGGCGGUUUCUUAAGUCUGAUGUGAAAGCCCCCGGCUCAACCGGGGAGGGUCAUUGGAAACUGGGAAACUUGAGUGUAGAAGAGGAGAGUGGAAUUCCACGUGUAGCGGUGAAAUGCGUAGAGAUGUGGAGGAACACCAGUGGCGAAGGCGACUCUCUGGUCUGUAACUGACGCUGAGGAGCGAAAGCGUGGGGAGCGAACAGGAUUAGAUACCCCGGUAGUCCCUGUCUCUUAUAC
rnacentral:rRNA from 1 species